UACGAAGGGGGCUAGCGUUGUUCGGAAUUACUGGGCGUAAAGCGCACGUAGGCGGAUCGAUCAGUCAGGGGUGAAAUCCCAGGGCUCAACCCUGGAACUGCCUUUGAUACUGUCGAUCUGGAGUAUGGAAGAGGUGAGUGGAAUUCCGAGUGUAGAGGUGAAAUUCGUAGAUAUUCGGAGGAACACCAGUGGCGAAGGCGGCGACCUGGUCCGAUACUGACGCUGAGGCGCGAAAGCGUGGGGAGCAAACAGG
rnacentral:rRNA from 1 species